CCAGGUUGAUUCUGCCUGACGUAGACGCUAUUCCCUAAGAUUAACCCAUGCAUGUUUUUGACAUUUGAAAAAUGGACUGCUCAGUAAUACUCACUUUAUUUUAUGUAAAUUUUUGAUUAAUUAACUACGUUAAAGUGUAGAUAAGAUGUUUACAGUAAGAGUGAGACCUAUCAGCUAGUUGUUAAGGUAAUGGCUUAACAAGGCUGUGACGGGUAACGGUAUUACUUUGUAAUAUUCCGGAGAAGGAGCCUGAGAGACGGCUACUAAGUCUAAGGAUUGCAGCAGGGGCGAAACUUGACCUAUGGAUUUUAUCUGAGGCAGUUAUGGGAAGUAAUAUUAUAUUGUUUCAUAUUUUAAAAGUAUAUGAGGUGAUUAAUUGGAGGGCAAAUCAAGUGCCAGCAGCCGCGGUAAUACUUGUUCCAAGAGUGUGUAUGAUGAUUGAUGCAGUUAAAAAGUCCGUAGUUUAUUUUUUUAAGAAGCAAUAUGAGGUGUACUGUAUAGUUGGGAGAAAGAUGAAAUGUGACGACCCUGACUGGACGAACA
rnacentral:rRNA from 1 species